rnacentral:lncRNA from 1 species
GUUUUGGUUAAAAGGUGUAAUGGCACUGAAGAUGGUUUGUUGAAGCUGAGGGUGCUUUGCUUGAAGGAGGAGUGUUUUCACUUUAACUGAGAGCUCGCGUCUGUAUAUGUUAUUAUUUGCAUUGUAUACUUGCCUUCCAAGAUCCUUGAGCUAUGAUUUAUGGCUUUGUGCACCUUAUAUCCCAAUUGUGUAUUGUGGCAUGGUAUCGCUUAUUAUUGUUGUGCCUGGUAGGAUGUAUUCGUAAAUGUGUGCCCAUAACACACGUUUCGAUUUGUUCUGUACUUGUUGUAAUCAGGACAGCGUUAGUUUUUGUUAUACUGAAAUGUUUUCCAAGCGUGUGUAUUAGUCGAUAUCCUGACUGGUUAUUACUUAAGUGCCAAAAAUAGCAAUCUUUCAUCUCCCUACAGUGUGCACCAAAAAUUACUAUGCUGUGCAAUGUUCUUGACAUUCCACAUUCAUACUUUCUCCGGCAAAGAUAUGUCUUAUCUACAUAUCAGCGCAAACUAUAGUAUGUUAGUAAUUAGGGAUGUAGGAAAUAUAUGUGUUUUCUUGCAUCAACCGUCUUUCCAGGACUGCUAGCUUCAUCAGCAUGUUUGACAAAAUGACCUCGCACAUUUCUCUAACAAAACUGCAAAAAUCUACGGUGGUCUGUUGGGCAAUGCCACAUUCAGUCAUGCACUUUGUUACUGUCAAUUUUAUUAUCCAUGCGUGAAUGCUUCUGACAAUCUGCAACACAUACAAAUAUACAAAAUAAGGCUGUUUUGUGCGUGCUUUUCUGGAUUUGUCGGAAAACAGGCAAACUAGUGAGUCGUACUUAUGUGGAGUAUCGGGUCAUUGACAUUUGCAAAAAAUAUAUUGGUGAGCGGUGAUUGGUACCCUGUGCAGCGUAUCCUCUUUUUUCGUUUAGGGGUAUUAUCAUCAGUUUUGUGGACCAUUGUGCGUCGACAUCUGUAAAUGUAGUUGCAUUUUUUGUUAUUGCUUGCUGUUUUGGUCAUUUUAUCUGUAAAUAAAAGUAAUAUCACCCUUGUUGUCUAUUAUGUCAUAGUCAGCUGUAAUCAGUUUGCAUGCUGUGCAUGUUGCCAGUUUGCCCCUUACCUUGGCAUUUUUGACAUUUCACGAUCCUGCCGUCUCCGCAUUUUGGUAUGACGUUCAGAAGUUGUAGGACUGUGACAGUUGCCUCAUUGUUUUUGAAAACCUCCUGGAAUGUGUAUGCUGUUAUGCAUUUAAUGCCAUCCCUCGCUGAUUCAGCAGCUGAGGUUACAUUGGUGCUAUUUGUAUUCUGUGAUGUAUUGGCCACAUUCAAAUUCUGAGUGUAUGCUUUUCCUGUAUGUAUUGUAUUCCUCUGUACUGUUUAACAAAUACCUUCAUGUUCACCCAGUUUGCCCUGUGACUUACCUAUAAUUGCAGACAGGAAUAUACAUACUGCAGAUGUCUUGGGCAAUGGUCUGUGCACUGAUUGGCUAGAAAUCUUUGCGUUGCUGAUUUAUGCAAAAUAGUAGCGGUGGUGGAAGAUAAUGACCAAACAUUGAAAUGUGUGUUUUACGGUUUUAGCCGGUAGCAUGUGGUAGCCUAGUGGUGUAGGGGAC